UACGUAGGGGGCGAGCGUUGUCCGGAAUCAUUGGGCGUAAAGCGCGUGUAGGCGGCCCGGUAAGUCCGCUGUGAAAGUCCAGGGCUCAACCCUGGGAUGCCGGUGGAUACUGUCGGGCUCGAGUCCGGAAGAGGCGAGUGGAAUUCCUGGUGUAGCGGUGAAAUGCGCAGGAUAUCAGGAGGAACACCAAUGGCGAAGGCAGCUCGCUGGGACGUGACUGACGCUGAGACGCGAAAGCGUGGGGAGCAAACAGG
rnacentral:rRNA from 1 species